UUGUUCUUUCCAUAUUACAGAUUUGGCAUAUUUAAGUCUUCACAAUGGAUAGGUUAUGGAGUGAAUUGUAUCAUGAGAGAAAGUAAUGAUGAUUCCAUCUGCCAUUUUCAGUGAAUCUCUGAAUGUAUUUACAUAUUUGGAAACCUGUUUUACCAAAAAUAUUUGAAUCUGAAAUGUGUGAUUCCUAUCCCAACAAAGUGAUAUGGACUGGUAGGACAAAAUGUUCUUCAAUUAGCUUCCUAGCUGCCCCUGAGGCCUACAGAGAGGUAAGAGAGACCAUUCAGUUUGUUGUCAAUGUUGGGCUAAACCUGUUGAUCAGACCAUGUUGUAAAGUAUUUUAGACAUCCAUCUUAACUCCCAAUUUCAUGACAAGGAUUACAGCCUGCUUCUGCCUGCUGGAAAGAAUUUAUUUCCACUUGGUGUUUUAUUCCUGGGAUUGUGUUACCAAAGCUGUAUAUCCUUGUCCUGGUAUGAAGAUGUGCACUGUAAUUUCAGCUGUUCACCAGAGCAAGUACCUUUUCCUGGCAGUCACAACCCUUUCCCCAAACUGUCCUGAAUGCUAAGGAGAUGUUUGGUAUAUUAAAAAAACGAAGAGAGAGAGGCGAGUAACCUCCAAAGCUGCUAUUUCUCAUUAUGGUGUAUUUGAUUGGUGGCAUAAUUGGCUUUGAAAGGAUGGCUUUGCAGCAGUCAGUAAUGUCAUCUAGGCUGUGGGCUUCCGUUUGUGUUUUACCAGGGAUGAUUUGUGUCACAUGUGUCAGUAAUUUUGUUCCUCUGCCUUCUCUAAGUGCCCUAUCUCACUAAAAUAUUCUGGAGGUAAAUAGAUCAUCUUCUGUGAAGCAUUCAGAAUCCUCCCCAUGGAAUACAGAUAAGGAUCUAUCAGAUAUCAAUGAAUUACACAAAAUUACAUUUUCUGCCAUUGAGAGGACAAAUUAACAUACUUGUUUCUCAUUUUCCAGAAGAACAUUUACUUUAGUGUUGAAGGAAAGGCACUGUCUUACUCAAAGUUCUUCCCCAACCUCAGCUUCCAUUUUCCUUAGCUACUUCCAUCAUUUCAGAUGCCAAAGAUUCCUUUUCACAGUCACUUGUCAUCUGUAACACUGAGUAUUUUGCCUCUGCCUUUCUUGGUCCUGGAAAAGCUACAGAUCAGAAAUAAAGGCAAU
rnacentral:lncRNA from 1 species